CCCUUAGAUGUUCUGGGCCGCACGCGCGCUACACUGAUGCAUUCAACGAGUCUAAAACCUGCUCUGAUAGGGGUGGGUAAUCUUUUGAAUGUGCAUCGUGAUUGGGUUAGAUGAUUGCAAUUUUUCAUCUUCAACGAGGAAUGCCUAGUAAACGCAAGUCAUCAGCUUGCAUUGAUUACGUCCCUGCCCUUUGUACACACCGCCCGUCGCUCCUACCGAUUGAAUGAUCCGAUGAAUAUCAUGGAUUGAGGAUGCAAGCAGGUUCGCCUGUCUUCAUCUUCGAGAAGUGAAGUAAAUCUUAUCAUUUAGAGGAAGGAGAAGUCGUAACA
rnacentral:rRNA from 1 species